AAGUCAUUUCAAAGAGGGCUUGGAUGGCUAUGAAAACAGAGCUCUUAAGGUUAUAAUAAGAUUGAAAUUUUCCGUAGGAUGCUGUAGUCAUGCAAUAGUGCUGUUUUCUUGUGGAGAUAGAAGA
ensembl:snoRNA